AUAUUUGGAAUGCGAAGGAACCUAUUCGAUUAGACGAUACGGGCAAAGUGUAAAAACAAAAUUCAAACUCAUCCAUCAAGUGGAGGAAGCUAAUACGUCUGAGAAGAAAAUAUAUACUUCAACUCACCGGUUUGAAUCUCGUCUCCAGUAGUGCCUCCAAGCAUAUUCCCACUGCAUUCUGCAAUCGAGAAUGAACGAGAAUUCAUUGACCGUAGAAUUCAACGGUAACAGUUUCUAAUUAGAUUGAAUAAUUCAAGAGCAGAUUUUCUGAGAAUAAAAAUGGAAAAUCUUAUUUGCGAUUUGAUUCCUAAAGUCUCAAUUGAUU
rnacentral:misc_RNA from 1 species